AUGUCGUAUAUGCUCCCGCACUUGCACAACGGCUGGCAGGUGGAUCAGGCCAUCCUUUCGGAGGAGGACCGCGUGGUAGUCAUUCGCUUUGGACACGACUGGGACCCCACCUGCAUGAAGAUGGACGAGGUGCUCUACAGUAUAGCCGAGAAGGUUAAAAAUUUUGCAGUUAUUUAUCUUGUGGAUAUUACAUAAGUGCCUGACUUCAACAAAAUGGAUGAGUUAUACGAUCCGUGUACUGUCAUGUUUUUCUUCAGGAACAAGCACAUCAUGAUUGACCUGGGUACUGGUAACAACAACAAGAUCAACUGGGCCAUGGAAGACAACCAGGAAAUGAUAGACAUCAUCGAGACUGUGUACCGGGGCGCCCGGAAAGGUCGCAGCCUGGUAGUGUCUCCGAAGGACUACUCCAUGAAGUACAGAUACUGAGCUCAGCCCAGCCUCCGUGCACAGAAAUGGUGUGCAGUCAUUUUCAUGUGGAAAUAUUGGAAACUAUUUAAAGCCUUAGAGAAAGCGUUUGGAGGAGAAUACAAAGAUGAAGGGGUUGGAGGGUCUUUGCAGUAAGGGUUGCAUGGCCUCAACUCUCUGCCUGCCUGGCUGUUGUAUUUUUAUAUUAGCAAAUAUCUGUAAAUAUCUAGCCGAAAUAAAUACGCAGUAAUGGAAAGUC